GAAAUGCGAUAAGUAAUGUGAAUUGCAGAAUUCAGUGAAUCAUCGAAUCUUUGAACGCACCUUGUGCUCCUUGGUAUUCCUUGGAGCAUGCCUGUUUGAGUAUCAUGAAAUCUUCAAAGUAAAUCUUUUGUUAACUCAAUUGGUUUCUACUUUGGUAUUGGAGGUCUUUGCAGCUCCACACCUGCUCCUCUUUGUUCAUUAGCUGGAUCUCAGUGUUAUGCUUGGUUCCACUCGGCGUGAUAAGUUAUCUAUCGCUGAGGACACUGUAAAAGGUGGCCAAGGUAAAUGCAGAUGAACCGCUUCUAAUAGUCCAUUGACUUGGACAAUACUUUUAUGAUCUGAUCUCAAAUCAGGUAGGACUACCCGCUGAACUUAAGC
rnacentral:misc_RNA from 1 species